rnacentral:lncRNA from 1 species
AAAUUUAAUAAUAUUAUUAAUAUUAAAAAGUUGAAUUAUGAUCUGAAUUUUAUAAAUAAAUUGUAAAUUUGAUUUUUGAAAUUAAAAGUUGAACUCUAUGAGUAGGUGUAAUUUUUACAAGAAAAAUUAUAGGGAAACCUAAAACUAUGAAGAUUACAGUUUGGGCUUUUACCUGGGUUGGGCUCUUGCAAAUCUUCUUUCUGAGAAACUUAAAAAAUGCUCAUUCAAUCAAUGGCCUUUCAAAAAAUUCUAUGAAAAGAGUGUUCAAAGUAAAAAAAAAUUGUGUAAAGUCUAGUGGGACUUUUUAAUUAAAAGUUACAGUGUCACUUUCCCAUCCUGGAAACUUAAUUCACACUUAACACAAUACAAAUUAAAUUAACAUUUAAAAGAAAUUCUUAUAAAUAAAUUGAAAGCUUAGCCAAUGAUUAUUGCCUAUUAUAAAUUGAUUGUGUGCAACUUUGAAUUAAAAUUGGGGCACAAUAUGCUAUGUCACUUUUUAAUGAAAACGUAACUUUAUUUUUCUUAUAAAAUCAUCGACAAGAAGAACUUUAUUUCAGUAUGUUAUAUCCUAUUAAAUUAUACUUAAAUGAACUAAUAAUAAAUACAUACUUCAAAAAGAUUAAAUGAUCUUUAUUUCAAUGGCAAUAAAUAUAGAAACAAUUCAAUUAAGUGAUAAAAAUUCAAAAAAGUGACAAACACCAAUCAAAAUAUCAAAUAAAUCUAGGGGUGGUUAAUUUUUUUCUACAUGUUGUCACUUUGUGAUUAUGUAUCAAUUCUAUUAAUUAAACAUAGAAGUUGGAAGUGAUGGCAAUAAAAAAAUAAAAAUUAUAAUCACUUAAAAAGUGACAAACAUUUUCGAGCCCCUUUUGUGGAUGGAACCACCAAUAUUAUCUUGCCAACUCUACAAAUUCUCUUCUCAAACUUCAUGUGUGUGCAGAGCACUUCAGUUGUUCUUAUAUCUGCACAAAUGAUUAUAAGCAUUGCCAAGAAUGAAAGCAGUGUAAAUUUAACAGCUCAAUGUUCGCUAAAAGUGCAUACCACAAGUGUACUGGUCGCGUUCAAAUAAUAAAGCGGACUUUUUGAGUUCGGAUUGUCGAUCUCUUGAGAAAUGUAUACUUUAGAUUACACUACUUUAAUUAAUUCAAUUCCAACAAUAAAAAUAAGCACACAAGAAAAUUAUGAUUUUGGAAAAAUAACUAAAAAUUUACAAAAUAAGAAAAUAUAAAAGUCUUGGGAAUUUUUGGAAGCAAACGUGGUUGGGAUUCAUAGUUUUCGCUUAACCGUCGCCUAAUUAAUUUCUCAACAUGUCAACUAACAAAUUACUCAUUUACAAUGUUAGAUUCGAUUUGUCAAUUUUAGUUAAUUACCUCUCUCGAGCGAAAUUAAUCCUAAUUGAUUGGUUUAAUCUACUAUAUCUCUACGUCGAUUAAAACCAAACAAUUGCAUUAAAUAUUUAUGAAAAUAACACAAAGGAUCACCUAAGGUUAGGGGUAUAUCUCAAUCCUUUACAUAAACCUAAGAUUUCUACUAUUUGAUCUAAAAUGCACAAUCUUCUCUCGAACGAUAGACAAAUCACUCAAUAUAAUCAUUCAUUUGGCCACUAAAUGAAAAUACAAUAAUUACAAUAGUAGAAACACAUGAAAAUAAGCAAAUUAAUAUCAAAUGGCAAAUAUUAAAAUUAAUCAAGGCUAAACUACAACCAUAAAUCCCAACACAAAUAACUUAACCCAUUUUAUAUAGAUGAUAAAAGGGAGAAUGUUUUAGACAAUACAUUGCAAGUUUGACAAAAUAAUUGAUAAAAUACGAGGUAGAGAUAAAACCUCUUUUCAAGCUUGCUCUUGAUUUCCCCAAAACUUUGUCAAAUCCUUAGUUGAAUCUCCUUGUGCUCUAAAUUAUGCCCCAAAAAAUACUAAGGAAAAGAAAAGAAAGAAAAAGAGAAAGAAAAGAGGAAGAAGCAGGUGACGGCUG